rnacentral:rRNA from 1 species
CGAACGCUGGCGGCGUGCUUAACACAUGCAAGUCGAGCGGUAAGGCUCCUUCGGGAGUACACGAGCGGCGAACGGGUGAGUAACACGUGAGUAAUCUGCCCUUCACUUCGGGAUAACCACCGGAAACGGUGGCUAAUACCGAAUACGACCAGUCUUCGCAUGAGGUGCUGGUGGAAAGUCUUUUCGGUGAAGGAUGUGCUCGCGGCCUAUCAGCUUGUUGGUGGGGUAAUGGCCUACCAAGGCUUCGACGGGUAGCCGGCCUGAGAGGGUGACCGGCCACACUGGGACUGAGACACGGCCCAGACUCCUACGGGAGGCAGCAGUGGGGAAUAUUGGACAAUGGGCGAAAGCCUGAUCCAGCAACGCCGCGUGAGGGAUGACGGCCUUCGGGUUGUAAACCUCUUUCAGUACCGACGAAGCGCCCUGUCGGGUGGUGACGGUAGGUACAGAAGAAGGACCGGCCAACUACGUG